rnacentral:hammerhead_ribozyme from 1 species
AGCCGAAACGCUCAUUGAGCGUCUUCCGUGGAUUGCCACCCGGGACUGAUGAUGGCAGGCUGGA